rnacentral:lncRNA from 1 species
CCUCCCUUCCUUCCUUCCUUCUUUCUUUGAGAGUCUCACUCUGUUGCCCAAGCUGGAGUGCAGUGGUGCUAUCGCAGCUCACUAUGGUCUUGAAUUUCUGUGUUCAAGUGAUCCUCCCACGUAGCUGGGACUACAGGUGUGCACUACGACGCCCAGCUAAUUUUUAAAUCGUUACUAGAGAUGGGGGUCUCACUAUGUUGCCCAGCCUGGUCUUGAACUCCUAGGCUCAAGCAAUCCCCUCACCUAGGCCUCCCAAAGUGCUGGGAUUACAGGUGUGAGCCACUACGCCCAGCCUAACUUUUUGGAAAACUAUACCCAAGCCACUAGUUUUUCAAGGUUAGUUAUUACCUUCAAAUGACGCUUAACUGACAUUUCUGACCAUCUAAAUGAACUUAAUUGAAAAAAAAAAAAAAAUCAAGGGCUGUAUGAAUUGACUCUCCAAAAACUUAACUACUCAUAGCAUACUGGUUGACUGAAAGCCUUACUGGUAACAGUUGAACACGUAUUUUGUAUAUGUAUUACAUACCAUAUUAUUACAAUAAAGUAAGCUAGAGGAAAGAAAAUGUUAUGAAGAAAAUCAUAAGGAAGAUAAAAUUAAUGAAUUUACUAUUUAUUAAGUGGAAGCGGAUCACCAUAAAGGUCUUCAUCCUUAUCAUCUUCCCAUUGAGUAGAUGGAGGGUUGGUCCUGCUGUCUCAGUAAUGGCAGAGCCAGAAGCAAACUCACAUACAGGUGGACAUGUGCAGUUCAGCCCUGUGUUGUUCAAGGGUCAGCUGUACAGUCAAGGUUAUCCUUCUCUAAAUUACAUGGAGAUGACGUUUUAUCAAGGCUUUUCUCAUCUGUUCAAUUCUCACCUUCUCAGCAUGAAAACAGAAUGCCCAGCAGGUGGUCCUCAUGACCCCUCAAAGAGAGGUUCCCCCAAGCAAUCAUGAUUCAAAUAUUUUCAUCUUAAGUAGCUUGAACGUUAGCCUUGUCACCCAGGUGAAUUUAGUCUCAUGAUUAGGUAACUAUGUAUUUCAUAUGUUCAUAGUCUAUCUUGAGCUUUAAAAGAGAUUUAUGGCAUCAUAUUCACAGCUACGAAGGUUCAUAAUUUUGGGGCCACUUCUACAGUCAUUUCAUACAAUUUAUUUGUGAAAUAUAGAAAAAAACUAUUCAAUAAUCAAAUCCAGUUAUUUUUCUUUUACAUUUAUUUAAAAUGAUUAAAAAUAGUUUAUGACAGUUUUAGAAAAUGGAAUGGAUUAAAGGCUAAAAAUGUUUAGAUUCCAUUUAAGUAGGGGUGUGUGUGUGUGUGUGUGUGUGCAUGUGUGUAUGCGUGUGUGUAUGUGUGGCUGCACCCACCCUCCUGGGGAACAGAAGCAGAACAGCCCAGCACAGACAGGUUCUCAGAAGACCAGGCACCAGCACACAGCACCCUACUCACCAAAGACUCCAGGUAGAAGGCCCAGGGCAGAGUGCAAGCGGGAGCCCUAGAAAGAUGACCCCUCCC